rnacentral:rRNA from 1 species
GGAUUCCCCGAGUAGCGGCGAGCGAAACGGGACGAGCCCAGCGCUGAAUCCUGCGGCCCCGGCGGGCCGCCGGGAAAUGUAGCGUUAGGGAGGAGAGUUAUAAAUAUACGCGCGGUCAUUAGUCACGACUGCCAGUCCAAGUUCAUCUUGAACGGGGCCGCUUACCCGCAGAGGGUGCCAGGCCCGUGGUGACGGUAGUCGGCCGCGACGGUCUCUCUCCCCAGAGUCGGGUUGCUUGAGAGUGCAGCCCUAAGCGGGUGGUAAACUCCAUCUAAGGCUAAAUACUACCACGAGACCGAUAGCGAACA